rnacentral:rRNA from 1 species
GAUGAACGCUGGCGGCGUGCCUAAUACAUGCAAGUCGAGCGGACGGAUGAGAAGCUGGCUUCUCUGAGGUUAGCGUCGGACGGGUGAUUAACAGGUGGAUAACCUACCUAUAAGACUGGGAUAACUUCGGAAAACCGGAGCUAAUACCGGAAAAUAUUUUGAACCGCAUGGUUCAAGAGUGAAAGACGGUCUUGCUGUCACUUAUAGGUUGAGCCGCGCUGCAUUAGCUAGUUGGUAAGGUAACGGCUUACCAAGGCAACGAUGCAUAGCCGACCUGAGAGGGUGAUCGGCCACACUGGAACUGAGACACGGUCCAGACUCCUACGGGAGGCAGCAGUAGGGAAUCUUCCGCAAUGGGCGAAAGCCUGACGGAGCAACGCCGCGUGAGUGAUGAAGGUCUUCGGAUCGUAAAACUCUGUUAUUAGGGAAGAACAUAUGUGUAAGUAACUGUGCACAUCUUGACGGUACCUAAUCAGAAAGCCACGGCUAACUACGUG